GACGAACGCUGGCGGCGUGCUUAACACAUGCAAGUCGAACGGAAAGGCCCUGCUUUUGUGGGGUGCUCGAGUGGCGAACGGGUGAGUAACACGUGAGUAACCUGCCCUUGACUUUGGGAUAACUUCAGGAAACUGGGGCUAAUACCGGAUAGGAGCUCCUGCUGCAUGGUGGGGGUUGGAAAGUUUCGGCGGUUGGGGAUGGACUCGCGGCGUAUCAGCUUGUUGGUGGGGUAGUGGCUUACCAAGGCUUUGACGGGUAGCCGGCCUGAGAGGGUGACCGGCCACAGUGGAACGGAGACAGGGUCCAGACGACUACGGGAGGCAGCAGGAGGGAAUGUGCGGCAAUGGGCGGAAGCUUGACGGAGGAACGCGGCGUGAGUGAUGGAGGUCUUCGGAUCGGAAGACUCUGUUAUUAGGGAAGAACAAAUGUGGAAGUAAAUAUGCACGUCGUGACGGUAACUAAUCAGAAAGCCACGGCUAACUACGUG
rnacentral:rRNA from 1 species